rnacentral:rRNA from 1 species
UUAAAUUGAAGAGUUUGAUCAUGGCUCAGAUUGAACGCUGGCGGCAGGCCUAACACAUGCAAGUCGAACGGUAACAGAAAGCAGCUUGCUGCUUUGCUGACGAGUGGCGGACGGGUGAGUAAUGUCUGGGAAACUGCCUGAUGGAGGGG